UGGGGGAUAUUGCACAAUGGGCGAAAGCCUGAUGCAGCGACGCCGCGUGGGGGAUGAAGGCUUUCGGGUUGUAAACCUCUUUCGCUAUCGAACAAGGCCCGCUUAGGGUGGGUUGAGGGUAGGUGGAGAAGAAGCGCCGGCUAACUACGUGCCAGCAGCCGCGGUAAUACGUAGGGCGCGAGCGUUGUCCGGAAUGAUUGGGGGGAAAGGGCUUGUAGGUGGCUUGUUGCGCCUGCUGUGAAAACGCGGGGCUUAACUUCGCGCGUGCAGUGGGUACGGGCAGGCUUGAGUGUGGUAGGGGUGACUGGAAUUCCAGGUGUAGCGGUGGAAUGCGCAGAUAUCUGGAGGAACACCGAUGGCGAAGGCAGGUCACUGGGCCAUUACUGACGCUGAGGAGCGAAAGCAUGGGUAGCGAACAGG
rnacentral:rRNA from 1 species